UGCGUUUGGUACGGCUUUUAACCUCCUGUGCUUAUAAGCAAUGUCCCAUUUGGUGUUUGGUAAAUCAACUUCACGCGGGCUUCUUUUGGAAGCCAGGGCUUAUAAGCUGGAAAAGCAGAAGCCAGGGGACCCUUGCUUUUAGAAGCCAGAAGCCGCGGCUACUGUAGCGAAGGUUUAAUGAAUUUUUCAAAAUACCAUUGGGUACCCUUAUGAACUUCAAGGAAUUACACACACGACCAGCCUCUUCUCUUCCUCAACUCUCCCUUUCUGUCUUCUCUCUCUCGGUGCUCUUAGGACGACGUUGUGCAUCCAUCGGUGCCUCCGCCUUUGCUCUCCCUUGUGGCCACCUCGAGUUCGGAAAGCUUCUAUUGGAACCGAAGAGUAACCUCUUAAAUGAAGAAGUAUAUGAAUUGUAAUUAAAAGUGAAAAGUUAUUCAAGUAAAUAUCUUGGUGAAUAUGGGUAGAGGUCAUGGAGCAGAUUGGGGGUCAAGUUGCUACUGUCCGAGGCUAUACUGUAUAUAAUUAUAGUGAUGGAUGAUGAUAUGCCUAAGGAUAAGGACGAGGAAGAACACGAAGAUGAGGAAGUAGUUUAUAAGGCCACAAUUUUAAUAUUUAGACUUGGUAGUAUCUUUUAGUGAACAUGUUUAUGUUGUUGUCUAUUUAGUACAUUGAUGUUGGAUAUUAGUUAAUCAAUGCUACAUCUCUAUAUAUUUUUUCUUGGAAUAAAAGUGAACGCUUCAAUUUGACUGGCA